GAUGAACGCUGGCGGCGUGCCUAAUACAUGCAAGUCGAGCGAACAGACGAGGAGCUUGCUCCUCUGACGUUAGCGGCGGACGGGUGAGUAACACGUGGAUAACCUACCUAUAAGACUGGGAUAACUUCGGGAAACCGGAGCUAAUACCGGAUAAUAUAUUGAACCGCAUGGUUCAAUAGUGAAAGACGGUUUUGCUGUCACUUAUAGAUGGAUCCGCGCCGCAUUAGCUAGUUGGUAAGGUAACGGCUUACCAAGGCAACGAUGCGUAGCCGACCUGAGAGGGUGAUCGGCCAGACUGGAACUGAGACACGGUCCAGACUCCUACGGGAGGCAGCAGUAGGGAAUCUUCCGCAAUGGGCGAAAGCUUGACGGAGCAACGCCGCGUGAGUGAUGAAGGUCUUCGGAUCGUAAAGCUCUGUUAUUAGGAAAGAACAAAUGUGUAAGUAACUAUGCACGUCUUGACGGUACCUAAUCAGAAAGCCACGGCUAACUACGUG
rnacentral:rRNA from 1 species